UACAGAGGGUGCGAGCGUUAAUCGGAAUUACUGGGCGUAAAGCGUGCGUAGACGGUUAUUUAAGUCGGGUGUGAAAGCCCCGGGCUCAACCUGGGAAUUGCAUUCGAGACUGAAUAGCUAGGGUACGGUAGAGGGAAGUGGAAUUUCCGGUGUAGCGGUGAAAUGCGUGGAUCUCGGGAGGAACACCAAUGGCGAAGGCAGCUUCUUGGCUCAUUCCUGACGUUGAGGCACGAAAGCGUGGGGAGCAAACAGG
rnacentral:rRNA from 1 species